UUUUGUCCAAUUCAGCAUACAACGCAGCCGAUCUGUAGAAAAAAAUCCACAAAUGUGAGGUGCAGUUACUAGCUACACCAGCAGGUGGCGAGAUCCCCUCACAUGAGCUGACAGAACUACAGUCUGUAAACUGCUAGAAGAAGGCUAAACAAGAGUCAUCAAACCAGCUGGCUUCUACCAGGAGGAGAAAGACGGGGUGGAGCAACUUUAUUUAACCCAACGGCCAUGAUUGAGGAUGGGGUUCAUCAUUGUCAUCUCCAGGGAAAUUGUCAACUUAAGAGUAUAGCAGUCCCAACCAUUUUUCCAAGUCAUCAGUCCCAACCAUAUGUUCCAAGUAACAUCCUGUCGUACAGUGGUAAGACGCAAGAUUUUGUCAGGGACUGACACACCUGUUACUCAUCUGCUGCUGCUCACCUGUUCUCCAUCCACCAAUCAACACCUUGCAGUAUAUCUACCCGGCUCUUCUCACCAGUCUUCGCCAGAUCGUCUGUUUACCCAAGUUCAUUCCUCCCACCUGCCUUCAUGUUUCUCACUGGCUCUUCAGAAAGAUCUCACCAUGGAUCCUCCGCUGCUCCACCUCAGCCCGCUGUCCUCGCUCCGCCUGCCUGCCCUCACUAGUCUCCUGCCUGCAUGCUGUCUUUGCCCAGUCCACCGGCUCACAGCAUUAACUUCCACACACUUAGUUACUCCUUUGUGUUUUACAACCAAACCGAAACUAACUACUUCAACUCUAUCUGUGCUAGUCGUGCUUUUGGGUCCAGCUUCUGUGUACCAUAACAGGUCCACUAAUAAAAUCAGUCAAAUUUCUAGAUAUGAGAGCUGCUCCAUCCAAAGUAGGAUGUAUGCCGUCUCAUUAACUUUAGUGACCUCCAACUGGCGUAAUCGGGGUUGUUACCGCUGACGUGAAUAAUGAUCAUACUGUAUUUACACUUAUCCUCAGCACAAUUUACAGAUUCCUUUUUACAGAUCUGCUGCAGUACAAAUUGGACAAAAUUCCACAAAUAAAUAGGAGGGAAAUCACAAAUGUUAUGUGGCCUGCAAGCUGACAGGAAGCAAUCCACAAAUGUGCAAAACCCAUUUCAUGUGAAAAAAAGGAUCCACAAAUGCGUAUAUAUCACUUUACAUGUAUUUUUUGAGGUGAAACAAUUUACAUUUGUACAACUUAUCAUUUUAUGUGAAAUUAAAAUACGUUUUUACAGAGAAAGUUACACAUCUUUGCAAUUUGCUCUCUCUGUAUUUUUGUGGAUAUGACUUUACACAACACAAAUUUAAAAAAAAAAAAAUACAGCGAUACAUUUUCAGUGAGUCUAGAGAUUCAGAUUUGUCUUCCUCCAGAAGGCGUCUCAUCUGGAUGAGGGAAAUCUUUCCCUGAAUAUUUCAGGGUAAACACAGUCACCUUCUCAAGAUGCAGACCUCAUGGUCAUGAGGGGGAGUGAGGCAGCAGCCUGAUAAAUACAUGCUAUCAGCUGUAUUGUGAUCUAAUUGGCUCAUAUUGGAGGGUUUUCAAUGUAGAAUAAAGGCUUUGACAGGGCCUCACAUACACAAAGAUUAUAUGCACAUACAUACACAUCCAUGCACACACACAAAGACAGAGCUGCAGUGUUUAGUCUGUUGUGAGUUCAGUCUGAUAAUCAGUAAUUAGGUAAUUGUAUGUGUGUGUGUGUGGGGGAGUUUCUUAUCAGCUGGUCAGACUCACAUUGAGAGCAGAAACACAUAUUGAUGAUCUGCUGCGUUUCCACCUGAGGUUUGUGUGUCUUUGUGUAACAUGUCUGUUUGUAUGUAUGUGUGUU